UCCAACCUUAUCCACAGGGCAUACAUUUCAAGGCCCCCAGGAGAUACAUGAAACCAUGGAUAGCACUUAACACUGUAUUACAUUUUUCCUAUACAUACCAUGAUAAAGUUUAAUUUAAGAAUUAGGCAGAGUAAGAGAUCAACAACAACAACUAAAAACAGAACAAGUAUAACAACUAUAGCAAUAUGUUAGCAAUACUACUCUUAUGCUUUGGGGCCAUUAUGAAGUAAAACAUGGAUUACUUGAACAUAAGCACUGAUCUAUCAGGGCAGUUGAUAUGAUAAGGGAUAUGAUAAUCCAGACCAAAGAUGCUAUUUAGUGACUCAUGAGUGUUUAACAUAUACAACAUGGAGACUGUGGACAAAAGGACAAUUCAUGUCCCGGGAAGGACAGAGUGGGACAGUACAAUAUCUUAUCACACUACUCAGAAUGGUGUGCAAUUUAAAACUUAUGAAUUGUUCAUUUCUGGAAUUUUUCAUUUAAUAUUUUCAGACCACAGUUGACCUCAGGUAACUGAAAUGGAGGAAAAGGAAAAGACCACAGUUGACCUCAGCUGUUUGAGAUGAAAACUCCACUUUGGACUGGUACAGCCAAGAACGCAGGGCUCCCUUUCUCCCUGCAGGUCCCAAGAAAAAGGCCAUUUUCCAAAGACAGGCAAGACAGCAUUUCUCAUGCUUCCCCCGGCUACCUACUGUGGAGGCUAAGUUCCUGGUGAUUGUGGCCAAGAGGCAGAGAAUACUCUUCCACUAAGCUCCACCCUGUGCCUCUGAGAAUUCUGGGGUCCUGAUUGCCUUUGCUGUAACUCAUUGCUGUGAGAGGCAAGUCAAGAAGACCUAGUGCAGCUGCCUUCCCUAUCCACUGACAGCUCAGUUCCUGAAGUGGGAGUGUCUUCAGACAGAAGCACACCAUCGUCCACACCCACAGCAAAAACACUAUGGCUCAGGGACUUUGCCCUGGGGGAAGCAGUCCACAGUACAAAACUCCCAUCCCUCCCCUCAAAAUUGACUUUACUUGCAACAGUGCACGGAGAGGUUCCUAUGAAAGCUCUUGAACCAGUGAAAGUUGUGAUGAAGGGCAAUUGGGAAGAAUUGGUAGGUUUGUUUAAAAUAGAGACUGAAAUGUAAGCUGGUUAAUUUGCCAAAGAUUAACAGGGAGAGAGAUGGCUGGAAAAGCCCUCCUGUGGUCAGAACAAAUCUAAAAUACUGACUUCAGGAAUUUUCCCUUUGAAGUGCUAGUAUUUGAUUAGAUUAGUCUGUGGGGCAGGUUAUGUCCCAAAGCAUUAUUGAAAACAUUAGAGCAAUCAGCCUGCAAUUAGUGGAAUUUAACAACUACGAAUGGUCAGGAAAAGUGACAGUCAAAAUAACAAACAGACAAACAAGGCUGGCAGGAACUUUGUAGGUAAGCAGGACAAGUAGGUAGGGGUGAGCAGACACCAUAAUCAGGUUGUCUGUUCACCCUCGCCUGCUGAUUUAACAGGAAAUGUUCUUCUCUGUGCUGUGGCACCAUAUUGAUUGCUGAAGCUUAAAGUCAAGCCAAAAUUUAAGGGCCUGUGGGGAGGAAAGAAAAUCCACUAAAGUUCAGUCAAACCAAGUCAUUGGGUAAGUUAUUAGUAAUACUGGGCACUCGGUAGCAACUGACAAUUUGUACAUCUAGGAGCUGUCAAAUCCAUAUGCCAGGAGCUAAACAUAAUAGAGCAAUAGGAAAGAGACUCAAACCAUUUAUGUUUAAAUGCCCUCGGGACAUUAAAGAAAAAAAAGAAAAAUAUAAGGAUACAGAAUAUCAUGGCUAGACUCUAACAGACACUAAAAUGUAAGAAUUCAAAACAUUAUAAAUAGAAGCUAGAUUUGGUAAACAGCCAAAUAUAAUUUCUAUAAAAUAAAAUUUACAGUUACUAUAAUAAAAGAAUAACCUGAAAUGAGUAAGUUAUACAAUAGCUAAAGAAAAGUUAAUCAAUUGUUUUAAAAAUAGCAACAAUAACAAACCAAAAAUUGGAACAUGAACUGGCAAAAGAUUAUAAUCUAUAAUACAUAAAGUUUAAUAAAAAUAUAAUAUAGAAAAUGAUACAAAAAAGUGACGACUCAAGAAAAUAAAUGUACAAUGUCAGUAAACAUGUGACUUUAUAAGAAACUAAAACAAAUUUCUCAAUUACUAUAUUUCCAUUUCUCAAUUACUAUAUUAAAGAAGAAUUAAAAUCAUUGCUUAUAAACACUAGUCUAGAUUUAGGGAAAUUAAUCAUGUCAUGUAUAACCUUUGAUUGAAAGAUGAUUGUGGCCACUUUUGGGGAAUAAUUUGGCAUUGUUAACAGAAAAACAAAACUGUAAAAUAUUUAAAGUGGUUUAUUCUGAACUAAUAUGAGUGACUAUGGCUCAGGAAACAGUCUCAAGCAGUCCUGAGAAAGUGUAUCCGAGGUAUCCAGGGUAUGGUUUGGCUUUAUACCUUUUAGGUAAAACCAUUAAGUCAAUACAUUUUAGGUAAAUCAUAAGUCAAUACAUGGAAGUUGUAAGUUGGUUUAGCCUAAGGAGGCAGAAUACCUUGAAGUAGGGUGAUUCACAAGUCAUAGGUGGAUUCAGAGUUUCUGAUUGAUUGGCAGUUGGUUGAAAGAGUUAAGCUUUGCCUAAAGACUUGAAGUAAAAGCUUGAGUUAAGGUAAGGGGGAGUCAUGGAGGCCAAGGUUCUCAUGAGGCAGAUGAUGCCUCCAGGUAGCAGCCUUCAGAGAGAAUCAAUUAUAAAUGUGUCUUUUCAGACCUUAAAGGUUAGACUCUUUUAAUCUGUUCUAGAUCUGGGAAAGACAUAGGCCUACAAAGUGAAGGUCUGCUGCAUUAAUGGAGAUUCUCUACAGAUGCAAAUUUUCCCCACAAGAGAUGGUUUUGCAGGGCCAUUUCAAAACAUGUCAAAUUUAUUUUGAGGUAAAAUAUUUUUAUUUUCUUCAAGGUCUGCUAUCUGUCAUGUGAUGCUAUACCAGAUUCAAGUUGGAAUUUGGUAACUUAUUGUCACAGAGUCUAUUUUGUCAGUCUUACACUCUCUAUUUCAAUGUUAAUACUGAUCAGUUAUGCCUAAACUCCAAAAGGGAGAGGAUAUAAUGAGAACUGUCCAGCCUCCCUUCCAUCAUGGCCAACAAUCCAGCUUUUCAGGUUUCUCUGGGGUCCUCUAGGCCAAGAGGGGAUUUCAUUCAGUUGGUUGGGGGGCUUAGGAUUUUAUUUUUGGUUUACAGCAUUAUAUACUGACAUUUUAUGUGUGUGUCUUUGCCCUGACAUAUCUGCUUCUGGGAAUGUAUUUAAUAAAAUUCUCUUAAUGUGUGUAAAAAUAUAC
rnacentral:lncRNA from 1 species